UACGUAGGGUGCAAGCGUUAAUCGGAAUUACUGGGCGUAAAGCGUGCGCAGGCGGUUGUGCAAGACAGAUGUGAAAUCCCCGGGCUCAACCUGGGAAUUGCAUUUGUGACUGCACGGCUAGAGUGUGUCAGAGGGGGGUAGAAUUCCACGUGUAGCAGUGAAAUGCGUAGAGAUGUGGAGGAAUACCGAUGGCGAAGGCAGCCCCCCGGGAUAACACUGACGCUCAUGCGACGAAAGCGUGGGGAGCAAACGAGGAUU
rnacentral:rRNA from 1 species